GGCCCUGUGGUGAAUUUACACAUUAAAUUCAGAGAAGCAGCUUCAAUUCUGCCGGGGCUU
rnacentral:tRNA from 1 species